CGGGAAUUUUGGGCAAUGGGGGAAACCCUGACCCAGCCACGCCGUGUGUGGGAUGAAGGCCUUCGGGUCGUAAACCUCUGUCGGGAGGGAAGAAAGGUCGCCGUACGAACAAUGCGGUGGCUUGACGGUACCUCCAAAGGAAGCGCCGGCUAACUACGUGCCAGCAGCCGCGGUAAUACGUAGGUGGCAAGCGUUGUCCGGAUUUACUGGGCGUAAAGCGCGCGCAGGCGGACUGGUAAGUCUGGGGUGAAAUCUCACGGCUCAACUGUGAGCGGUCCCCGGAUACUGCCGGUCUUGAGGGGCUCAGAGGAGAGUGGAAUUCCCGGUGUAGUGGUGGAAUGCGUAGAUAUCGGGAGGAACACCAGUGGCGAAAGCGACUCUCUGGGGGCAACCUGACGCUGAGGCGCGAAAGCGUGGGGAGCAA
rnacentral:rRNA from 1 species